rnacentral:rRNA from 1 species
GAAACUUAAAGGAAUUGACGGGGCCCGCACAAGCGGUGGAGCAUGUGGUUUAAUUCGACGCAACGCGAAGAACCUUACCAGGGCUUGACAUCCCCUGACCGCGUAUGAAAGUACGUUUUCACCCUCGGGUGACAGGGAGACAGGUGGUGCAUGGUUGUCGUCAGCUCGUGUCGUGAGAUGUUGGGUUAAGUCCCGCAACGAGCGCAACCCCUACGUUUAGUUGCUAACGCGUGAAGGCGAGCACUCUAGACGAACUGCCGUUGACAAAACGGAGGAAGGUGGGAUGACGUCAAAUCAUCAUGCCCCUUAUGUUCUGGGCUACACACGUGCUACAAUGGCCGGUACAGACGGACGCAAAGCCGCGAGGUGGAGCAAAUCCUAAAAAGCCGGUCUCAGUUCGGAUUGCAGGCUGCAAUUCGCCUGCAUGAAGUCGGAAUCGCUAGUAAUCGCAGGUCAGCAUACUGCGGUGAAUACGUUCCCGGGCCUU